AACUUUAUUCAUGAACCUAGAUAACUCCCACAUACGAAGAGACACUUAUUUAAUAUAGGUUAUUAAGACUUUCCUCAUGCAUGAACGUGAUCCCAAU